rnacentral:rRNA from 1 species
AGAGUUUGAUCCUGGCUCAGGAUGAACGCUGGCGGCGUGCUUAACACAUGCAAGUCGAGCGAAGCACCUAAGUUCGAUUCUUCGGAUGAGGACUUUUGUGACUGAGCGGCGGACGGGUGAGUAACGCGUGGGUAACCUGCCUCAUACAGGGGGAUAACAGUUAGAAAUGGCUGCUAAUACCGCAUAAGACCACAGUACUGCAUGGUACAGUGGUAAAAACUCCGGUGGUAUGAGAUGGACCCGCGU